GACGUAGGGCGCGAGCGUUGUCCGGAUUUAUUGGGCGUAAAGAGCUCGUAGGCGGCUUGUCGCGUCGACUGUGAAAUCCCGCGGCUCAACUGCGGGUCUGCAGUCGAUACGGGCAGGCUAGAGUUCGGUAGGGGAGACUGGAAUUCCUGGUGUAGCGGUGAAAUGCGCAGAUAUCAGGAGGAACACCGAUGGCGAAGGCAGGUCUCUGGGCCGAUACUGACACUGAGAGACGAAAGCUAGGGGAGCGAAUGGG
rnacentral:rRNA from 1 species